rnacentral:rRNA from 1 species
CCUACGGGGGGCUGCAGUGAGGAAUAUUGGUCAAUGGACGAGAGUCUGAACCAGCCAAGUAGCGUGAAGGAUGACUGCCCUAUGGGUUGUAAACUUCUUUUAUAUGGGAAUAAAAUGUUCCACGUGUGGGAUUUUGUAUGUACCAUAUGAAUAAGGAUCGGCUAACUCCGUGCCAGCAGCCGCGGUAAUACGGAGGAUCCGAGCGUUAUCCGGAUUUAUUGGGUUUAAAGGGAGCGUAGGUGGAUUGUUAAGUCAGUUGUGAAAGUUUGCGGCUCAACCGUAAAAUUGCAGUUGAAACUGGCAGUCUUGAGUACAGUAGAGGUGGGCGGAAUUCGUGGUGUAGCGGUGAAAUGCUUAGAUAUCACGAAGAACUCCGAUUGUGAAGGCAGUUCACUGGACUGCAACUGACACUGAGGCUCGAAAGUGUGGGUAUCAAACAGGAUUAGAUACCCGUGUAGUC